AUGGGGUGCAGCAGGCGCGAAACCUCCGCAAUGCGGGUAACCGCGACGGGGGGACCCCCAGUGCCGUGGCACAGCCACGGCUUUUCCGGAGUGUAAAAAGCUCCGGGAAUAAGGGCUGGGCAAGGCCGGUGGCAGCCGCCGCGGUAAUACCGGCGGCCCAAGUGGUGACCGCUAUUAUUGGGCCUAAAGCGUCCGUAGCCGGGCCCGUAAGUCCCUGGCGAAAUCCCACGGCUCAACCGUGGGGCUUGCUGGGGAUACUGCGGGCCUUGGGACCGGGAGAGGCCGGGGGUACCCCUGGGGUAGGGGUGAAAUCCUAUAAUCCCAGGGGGACCGCCAGUGGCGAAGGCGCCCGGCUGGAACGGGUCCGACGGUGAGGGACGAAGGCCAGGGGAGCGAACCGGAUUAGAUACCCGGGUAGUCCUGGCUGUAAAGGAUGCGGGCUAGGUGUCGGGCGAGCUUCGAGCUCGCCCGGUGCCGGAGGGAAGCCGUUAAGCCCGCCGCCUGGGGAGUACGGCCGCAAGGCUGAAACUUAAAGGAAUUGGCGGGGGAGCAC
rnacentral:rRNA from 1 species